CAAACGACUGCAGCAGAGAUUGGUGGUGUCCAUGGCCAAUAGAACGUGUGGAUGUUCCACAACAAUCUAAUCAAGGCGAUUGUGGCAUGUUUGUGUUGAAGUACAUUGAGCUUUUGAGCGCUGAGAUUCCGUUAGCUACUUGCACCGCGCAGAACAUGCCCUUUUUCCGGUUGAAGUUGGCUGCAGAGAUAUUACGGGGAGAUGCUUACAUGC